ensembl:lncRNA
GCUCAUUGGAAUCACCAGGAGGGCUAGUUAGAAGGCAGAUUACCAUGUCCUGGUGUAGAAAAUUCUGACUCAGGAAGUCUCAGGAUAAUUCCAUGAAUAUAUAACCCAAGUGCUUCCGGUGCAGAACGUCGGAAGCCUGACUUUUGGGAAUCCUUAGCCUUCAAGUUGACUCCAUAUUUUGAAGUUGAAUCUGAAGAUUGACCCAGCCUCAAAUCAGCUCCAUUUGAGAUCUUCUGCUCACGGCCAUCUGUAGCUCUUUAUCCAGAUGCUGUGUUCAAAUAAAACUGACAGAUGCUGGUUAUGAAUUUGUUUCCCUGUGAUCCUGAUAACAUAAAGGGUUGUGGAAUAGGAGAACAUGAAUUUUCUGGUGGUCUGGAACCAAACCCACAAUGUCUCCAAGGUAUGACUGCAUACAUCCAACUGGGGCUUCUGAAGGAAAUAAGAAAGAAAAUGAAAAACAUACAAUAUUCAACAAGAAAAUGGAUGAGAAUUUUUCAUAAGUGAUUAAAUACAACAUUCCACUGAUUUGAGAAGGUGGUUGAAUCUCCUCAAAAGUACAAGGAGAAAUAUAUAACUAGACACAACAAAUUAAAAUACAGAACACCUAAGACAAAAAGAAAAUCCUAAAAGCAGCCAGAAAGAAAAAGACAAUUAACUUCAGUGGAAUUAACAUUAAAGUGACUCCUGAACUUCCCAACAGAAAUAAUGGAAGCCAGAAUACAGUGGAAUAACAUCCUCAACACACUGAGAAAAUGAAUGUCAACCUCUGACAUUAUCUGAAGUCAAAAUACCUUUCAAAGUCAGGAAAAGAAUGACAUUUUACACAAACAAAACAUUUUAAAACUAACAAAAACUGAUAGAGUAAUAUUAUCCAGGAUAUACAUCAAGGGAAGUUAUCCUAAACGAAGGGUCUGAAAUGCACUAAGGAAUAUUUUGUCAUGAAAGUUAUAGAUGUGAGUAUUAAUCCAAGCUCCUAGGUUUCUUCCUUUUUUAUAAAUAUUUUUGCCAUUCAGUAUGACUCAAAACAACAAAAGAGAACAAGUGUUGUGUGUGAGAAAGAGCAUGAAUUUGUUUUGAGACUUGUUGAGCUUCAGGUACCUUUGAAAGAUCCAUGCAUAAAUGCCAAGAACACAGUUGUAUCCAUGGAUUUAAAACUCAUGAGAGAUGCCUGGGCUGGAGAUAAAAUCUGUGGUGAAUAUUCAUAUAAGUGGUUAUUGGAGUAACAGGCAUGAUGAGAUCACCCUAGGAGAACAUGUAACUUGAAAAGGUAAUGGGCCAGCACUUAGCAUUGAGGAACUCCAACAUUUAAUAAAGAAUCUUGCCUGUGAGUUGAAAAUUUGAAUUCAGUUUUCUAAAGUGAGUUUCACUUCUAAGAGAUUCAGGUCAUAUUAAUAUAUUUCUCUAUUUAAACGGUAAUCCUAAUUUCUUCCCCUCAAUGUGAUCUUGAGCCAAACAAUGCUCUAGAGUCCAUAAAGCUCCUUAAAUUAGACACAAAUAUAAAGUAUUACAUUAUUGGAAAUCAUUAGUCAAAUCAAUGAGCCUUAAUUGCAUUAAUAAAACACAUUAAAGACCUAAUCCAUGCUUCAUUUAUCACUUCUCCAAGGAAAAUUGCCAAGCCUACAUUUCACGAUCCUAUCAAAAGUUACUGAUAAGCCAUUGGCCCCCCCUGGAAUUCCCAAAUUCCCAUUCCAGGGAAGGAAGAGUAGUUCUUUGGCAUUUAGACAGCAUUUUGUCAUCUUGACCACCCAAGCUCCAUGGGUGUCAAUGCAAGGUGGUCUAACUGAGAACUCUACACAGGAUAUCAGACUUGUAAUCUGUGCAGAUGUAAAAUUUAUUUUUUUCUUUAUAAAAAGUGGCAUGCUCUUGCCAUAAUUUUCAGACCCAAGCUCUUUAGUGUCUCUUUUCAAAAGUAUGCCAUCUGUUUCCUAUUACCCUCCCUCAUCUAAUUACACUUAUCUUUCAUUACUGUCUGUGCAGAACUUCCCUUCCAGACUAGCUAAUGUGGUUGCUUUCUUGUUGAUAUAUUUUGAAUAUUUGUUCCUGAACUUUGUAAUGUCUGUGCUCCAGACUAGAAUCAACCCCACCUCGACCUCAACCAUCCUUUCCUUUAAACUUUAAAAUACCUAUUUAAAAGUCCCUGGUU